AAUAAGUUAUUUAAAGUUGAGAACAUAAUUCAUAUAUAAAAUUGCAGGAAGUCAUGCUAAUUUGAAAUCAAGUCAAAUCAACUGAAAUCAGUCAAGGUUUAUAUUUGUAUAAGUCUUCUUAUAUACAAAUGCACCCUCUUCAGUUAUGAGGAUUUUUUUUCCCAUAUUAAAUAGGUUUUUAUGAAUACUAUGUUUAUUGUGUUAAUGCUCCUAUGAACUAUUUUAAAAUAAAUUUCUAUAUCCAGCUUGAUAGAUGUGAAGCAUUGUUCUUACAUACAGUGGGGGAAAUAAGUAUUGAACGUGUCAACAUUUUUUUCAGUAAAUAUAUUUCCAAUGAGGCUAUUCAUAUUAAAUUUUCACCAGACAUCAGUAUUAACUCAAGAAAUCCACACAUAUAAAGAAAUCCAAACAUUAAAGUCCAUAAAUGAAGUUAUGUGUAAUAAAGCAGAAUGACACAGAAAAAAAGCUUUGAACACGCUAAGAAAAAUAAAAAUACAUUUAUUUAAUACUUAGUGGAGAAUGCUUUGUUUGUAAUGACAGCUUCAAGAUGCUUCCUGUAUGAAGAAAUUAAUGGGCCGCAGUAUUCAGGUGAAGCCUCUUUAUCCAAACCGAGUCAUUCAGCUAACCCCAGAGAAGAGUGUAGAUUUAUACUUCUGGGAGGUGAUGACUUUACAAAGAAUGAGGCAUGCAAGAUCUUACUCAGGAAUGGGCAGAGCCAACAAAGAGCUGAUCUGGAAGGGUGGGAGGUGAAGGAGAACCGUGUCCAGGGAAGACAUGUCACUGUGGCAAUUAGUCCUUCUCGUUGGUUGAAGCACUUGAAAUCAUUCUUUUUUUCCAGGAGAGUCAAAAGUAUCAAAAAUGAAAUUCAGAAAUGUGCAUCAGUGGUGUUCCCUGGGCCUAAUGCAUUCCUUUUGGUGAUUAGAGAUGGACAUGAACCUGGAAAAGUGCAUCUCCUUUUAAAAGCAGUUGCUUCAGUGUUUGGGAAAGAGGCAUUCGACUACAGUAUGGUGCUGUUCAUUAGAGGAGAUGGAGAAAAACGUUCAGAUCCUGCCUCAAUGAAGUGCGUUAAGAACUGUGGGAAAAGGCACCACUUUCUAGAGGACACUGAUAGCAGUGUUCAGAAUCUUUUCAUGAGAGUUGGGGAUAUGACAGCUAACACAAACAGCAAGUUCUUUAUUCCACCAGCCUAUGCAGAACCUAUGAAUAAAUUUGAACCAUGGGAAAAGAAAAGAAUUUUAUAUAUAAAGACCUUACUGGAUGAAUGCAAGGAUGAAAAAAGACAAAAAGACCAGCAUAUUAAAGAACUAAAAAUGAAGAUGGAGACCUCUCAACAGAGAGAGAGUGAACUUGAAAAGAAGUUGCAUGACUCUAAUAUGAGAGAGAGCAAACUUAAAAAGAAGUUGCAUGACUCUAGUAUAAGGGAGAGUGAACUUGAAAAGAAGUUGCAUGACUCUAGUAUAAGGGAGAGUGAACUUGAAAAGAAGUUGGGUGACUCUCGGCUGAGGGAGCGUGAACUUGAAAAGAAGUUGGGUGACUCUCGGCUGAGGGAGCGUGAACUUGAAAAGAAGUUGGGUGACUCUUGGCUGAGGGAGCGUGAACUUGGAAAGAAGUUGGAUGAAUCUCGGCUGAGGGAGAGUGAACUCGAAAAGGACUUGGAAGCUACUCAACUAAGAGGAACAACCUAAGAAAAGAAUUGGAUGAUUUUAAAAGAAACAAAUAUAACCCAGGAAGUGUACUGGAUUCUUCUCAACAAAGAGAGAGUGAGGUUAGAAACGAGGACCAUGGUGUAGAAAGGGACAACAGCAAAGAGCAAGCACCACAACCCAUUGGAACCAGGGAAUGCAGGGGGGGCAAAGACAUCGAGUUACCACAUUUUUCCACAGAUCAGAGCUAAUAUGAACAAAACAAACACACAACAAGGACAGAGUCAGGAGCUAAAUGAAUUUUAAAACAAAAAGCACAAACACUUGCCAUCAUGGGAAAAGUCCUCAGAACAGCAUUCACUAGCAGACAAAUGCUGCACACCAAAAGUAUUAAAGUAUUAUCCAUGGCAGUACUGAACUUUAUAUAACAGUAUUGUUUACUAUUAUUUGGACCAUUAUCUUUUUUUCUUGAGUUUUUCUUUUUUAAAAAUCUAAAUGAUGCAAAACAUCAAUUUAAAAACAAAAUUUUUUUUACAGGGAACUGAGUUGAAUCAUUUAUUUUUUUAUUAAUUAUUUUUCAAAACUUGCCAUUGUAUAGAAAUGGACCAUUAUUUAUUAUAUUUGUCACAUUAUCCAUCUGUGUAUGAAAUAUGAUGUGUAAAUAAACUUUCUUCUUCUUAUUAUUAUUAUUACUACUCCUGUGGUGAACUAUAAGUAUUUUAGUUAUAUACAGCACCCUCCACUAAUAUUGGCACCCUUGGUAAAUGUGAGCAAAGAAGGCUGUGAAAAAUUGUCUUUACUGUUUAACCUUUUGAUCUUUUGUUUAAAAGAAAAUCACUUUUCUCCCACGGAUAUCAAACAAUUGCAAACAAAACACAGGUUGUUGGAUAACUUUUUUGCUUUAAUAUAAUCAAUAAACAGAUAAUAACUGUAUUGUGUGUUUACUUAGGUUGCCUCAGAUCUAAAACUAUUUAGUAUGAGAUAUACAAUGUACACCACAAAAAUAGAAGAAAUCAGGAUGGGGCAUCAAACACACACACACACACACACACACACACACACACACACACACACAGUAAUCCUGUACAUCAGCUGAUCCUGUCUCUAUUUGAGAAAUCAUGUAGCUUAAUAAAUUCAUAUUUUAAACAGCGCUUCCCUGUUUGUUGC